rnacentral:rRNA from 1 species
CUGGUUCUCUAGGGAGCAUGUGCACACCUUGUCAUCUUUAUAUCUCCACCUGUGCACUUUUUGUAGACCUUUCAGGUCUAUGUUGCUUCAUUUACCCCAAUGUAUGUUAAUAGAAUGUUGUGACUAUAUAAUAUAUACAACUUUCAGCAACGGAUCUCUUGGCUCUCGCAUCGAUGAAGAACGCAGCGAAAUGCGAUAAGUAAUGUGAAUUGCAGAAUUCAGUGAAUCAUCGAAUCUUUGAACGCACCUUGCGCUCCUUGGUAUUCCGAGGAGCAUGCCUGUUUGAGUGUCAUUAAUAUAUCAACCUUCUCUUGUUUGAGUUGUUUGGAUGUGGGGGUUUGCUGGACUCUUAAAUAAAUCAGCUCCCCUGAAAUGCAUUAGCAGAACAACCUGUUCAUUGGCGUGAUAAUUAUCUAUGCUAUUGAAUGUGAGGGCAGUUCAGCUUUCUAAUCGUCCUUGGACAAUUUAUCAUUAAUGUGACCUCAAAUCAGGUAGGACUACCCGCUGAACUUAAGCAUAUCAUAAGCGGAGGAA